rnacentral:tRNA from 1 species
GCCGUGGUGGCGGAAAGGCAGACGCGCUAGAUUCAGGAUCUAGUGAGAGUACAUCUCGUGUGGGUUCGACUCCCACCCACGGCA